rnacentral:rRNA from 1 species
AACGAACGCUGGCGGCAUGCCUAACACAUGCAAGUCGAACGAAGGCUUCGGCCUUAGUGGCGCACGGGUGCGUAACGCGUGGGAAUCUGCCCUUGGGUUCGGAAUAACUCAGAGAAAUUUGAGCUAAUACCGGAUGAUGACGUAAGUCCAAAGAUUUAUCGCCCAAGGAUGAGCCCGCGUAAGAUUAGCUAGUUGGUGGGGUAAAGGCCUACCAAGGCGACGAUCUUUAGCUGGUCUGAGAGGAUGAUCAGCCACACUGGGACUGAGACACGGCCCAGACUCCUACGGGAGGCAGCAGUGGGGAAUGUUGGACAAUGGGCGAAAGCCUGAUCCAGCAAUGCCGCGUGAGUGAUGAAGGCCUUAGGGUUGUAAAGCUCUUUUACCAGGGAUGAUAAUGACAGUACCUGGAGAAUAAGCUCCAGCUAACUCCGUGCCAGCAGCCGCGGU